rnacentral:misc_RNA from 1 species
GUGAAUUGCAUCGUUUUUGAGUGUCAUAAAUCGCGCGCAAUUAUUACGUUUUGUAAAUUGUAGGUGAAUUUGUUAGAGUAAUGAUUGUUACGUAGCAUGAUUAUUUGCGAAACAUGGUGAAGAACAAAAAUUUCGUAAUAGAACUCGGUAUUUGUUCGUCGUAAUUUAAAUCUACGGUUUCCAAUAACAAGCGAACAAAGCAAAGAGAAGAGCAAGGUUAUACGAACGUCUCUUUUCUUUAUCAAUUGGUUGACCAUUCGAGCGAAAAUAAAGAUCGAGGAGGGCUGCGAAGAUCGGUU